GAGGUAGUUCUUGAAGACUUCUGGGAAAGGCUUUCUGGCUCCUAGCAGGGUAGGGGGACUCACUUACUGGUAGAUAGUGCCAUGUCUAGCUCUGAGGUCGACAAUCCUGGUGGAAACUUGUUGCUCAGGAGAGAGCUCUUCUGAGGACGAAGCUGUGGUCUUAAACAGUUGUGUGGAGGGAUAAAUUCCUGGUGAUAUUUCGUAGCUGCUGAACAAAGCAAACUUGGAACUCGGCAUCUGGAUUUCUUGGAAUCCUCCCCAUACAUCCAGUGCAAAACUGAGCAGAGUCAUCUGACAAAUCAGGCAAUGAACAGUCACUAUAGAGGUGCUGGCAACAGUCUGAUCAUCUGGGAGGAUAAUUGGGCCAAAGGCUGUUUCCCGUGGAAGACAUCUUUGUGUUUGGAGCCUUUCAGGCCUCCAGAAGAUACAGGAAGAAGAGAGCCACCUGCAAAGCAGAAGAGUUCUUACCAGAACCCCCUGUGCUGGCACCCUGACCUCAGACUUUCCAGCCCCUGGAAC